GAUGAACGCUGGCUACAGGCUUAACACAUGCAAGUCGAGGGGAAACGACGGGGAAGCUUGCUUCCCCGGGCGUCGACCGGCGCACGGGUGAGUAACGCGUAUCCAACCUGCCUCUGACUGAGGGAUAACCCGUCGAAAGUCGGCCUAAUACCUCAUGGUAUCGUCUGCGGGCAUCCAACGACGAUUAAAGAUUUCAUCGGUCAGGGAUGGGGAUGCGUCUGAUUAGCUUGUUGGCGGGGUAACGGCCCACCAAGGCUACGAUCAGUAGGGGUUCUGAGAGGAAGGUCCCCCACAGUGGAACUGAGACACGGUCCAAACUCCUACGGGAGGCAGCAGUGAGGAAUAUUGGUCAAUGGGCGAGAGCCUGAACCAGCCAAGUAGCGUGCAGGAAGACGGCCCUAUGGGUUGUAAACUGCUUUUAUGCGGGGAUAAAGUGAGGGACGUGUCCCUCAUUGCAGGUACCGCAUGAAUAAGGACCGGCUAAUUCCGUG
rnacentral:rRNA from 1 species